UACGUAGGGGGCAAGCGUUGUCCGGAAUUAUUGGGCGUAAAGAGCUCGUAGGCGGUUUGUCACGUCUGCUGUGAAAUCCCGAGGCUCAACCUCGGGCCUGCAGUGGGUACGGGCAGACUGGAGUGCGGUAGGGGAGAAUGGAAUUCCCGGUGUAGUGGUGGAAUGCGUAGAUAUCGGGAGGAACACCAGUGGCGAAGGCGGUUGCCUGGAGCUUUGCUGACGCUGAGGCGCGAAAGCGUGGGGAGCGAUCCGG
rnacentral:rRNA from 1 species